rnacentral:rRNA from 1 species
UACGUAGGGUGCAGGCGUUAAUCGGAAUUACUGGGCGUAAAGCGUGCGCAGGCGGUUUGCUAAGAGAGAUGUGAAAUCCCCGGGCUUAACCUGGGAACUGCGUUUCUAACUGGCAGGCUUGAGUGUGGCAGAGGGGGGUGGAAUUCCACGUGUAGCAGUGAAAUGCGUAGAGAUGUGGAGGAACACCGAUGGCGAAGGCAGCCCCCUGGGCUAACACUGACGCUCAUGCACGAAAGCGUGGAGAGCAAACAGG